GAAUUGGAAAACUACUUAUCUAUACAAAGAAAUAUAGAGUUUCUUAAACAAAAAAGAGACAAUUUGCAAAGUAUGGUCGACUUCAAUUCAGCUCAAAAAACCAGGCAACAAUUACUGGACAUGCACAAGACAAUAAAACUAUUGUUAGAAAAUGAACGUGCUAAAUUUGCUAGAAAGUUUUUAAUGGAUCCCAACCUGCGAUGAUUAAAUCUUUAUCGAAAAUUCGAAAU
rnacentral:lncRNA from 1 species